rnacentral:rRNA from 1 species
GACAGAGGCCCCGAGCGUUAGGCGGAAUCACUGGGCUUAAAGCGUGUGUAGGCGGGCCCGUAAGUGUCUUGUGAAAUCCCACGGCUCAACCGUGGAACUGCUGGGCAUACUGCGGGUCUUGGGCCAACUAGGGGCAGCCGGAACAAGCGGUGGAGCGGUGAAAUGCGUAGAUAUCGUUUGGAACGCCGAAGGUGAAAACAGGCUGCUGGGGUUGCGCCGACGCUGAGACACGAAAGCCAGGGGAGCAAACGGG